rnacentral:tRNA from 1 species
GCGCCUGUAGCUCAGUGGAUAGAGCGUCCGUUUCCUAAGCGGACCCCUACCUGGCGCG